rnacentral:rRNA from 1 species
AUUGAACGCUGGCGGCAGGCCUAACACAUGCAAGUCGAGCGGAUGAAGGGAGCUUGCUCCUGGAUUCAGCGGCGGACGGGUGAGUAAUGCCUAGGAAUCUGCCUGGUAGUGGGGGAUAACGUCCGGAAACGGGCGCUAAUACCGCAUACGUCCUGAGGGAGAAAGUGGGGGAUCUUCGGACCUCACGCUAUCAGAUGAGCCUAGGUCGGAUUAGCUAGUUGGUGGGGUAAAGGCCUACCAAGGCGACGAUCCGUAACUGGUCUGAGAGGAUGAUCAGUCACACUGGAACUGAGACACGGUCCAGACUCCUACGGGAGGCAGCAGUGGGGAAUAUUGGACAAUGGGCGAAAGCCUGAUCCAGCCAUGCUGCGUGUGUGAAGAAGGUUUUCGGAUUGUAAAGCACUUUAAGUUGGGAGGAAGGGCAGUAAGUUAAUACCUUGCUGUUUUGACGUUACCAACAGAAUAAGCACCGGCUAACUUCGUG